rnacentral:rRNA from 1 species
GAACUGAAGAGUUUGAUCAUGGCUCAGAUUGAACGCUGGCGGCAGGCCUAACACAUGCAAGUCGAGCGGAUGACGGGAGCUUGCUCCUUGAUUCAGCGGCGGACGGGUGAGUAAUGCCUAGGAAUCUGCCUGGUAGUGGGGGACAACGUUUCGAAAGGAACGCUAAUACC